UUACAACCAUCAAUCAUUCAAAUCAUACAUAUCUACUUAUCACUUUUUACCAGAUUUUGUCAAUCCUGUCUUAGUACAAAAUCUAUUGGGUAAUCUAGCAAAAAUUCCAUUAGUGGCAUGUUUUGGUUGAAACGCAUAUUUUUGAUGUAGCAUUGAUUGACAACUCUGAUAAACCGAUCUUUCUCCAUCGGAUACGGUCUAGCUCCACGAGGUCUUAAACGAUUCAUUAGCAUACAACCGCAAGUGCAAUAAGUCAAACAAGGGAUAAGCAUGUUGUAUUCAAAUAUCGUAAAUAUUGUUAUGGAAUUUUUGGAAGUUGUGAUUCACCAGUUGUUGUACGUUAAAAAAAUAUACCCUGAUGGAAUAUUUCUGACAAAACGGAAGUACGGAGUUCCUAUUCAUGUGUCAGCAUAUCCACCAUUAAAUGAUUACAUCAGUAAAUCGCUUUCAACCAUCAAAUUUAUUUUAGAUAAAAAAGAUUUACAACAAUUGGAUAUUUGCUUUUAUGAUCCUAAUUCUAAACUAAUUGAAAAAAUUGUUUUUUAUUUCAAUAAAAUCAUCACUGGACCUCAAGAACUCAAUAAAAAUAUCAUUGACAGUGUGGAAGAUCCAUAUUUAGUCCAUCUUACAGAGGUUUUAAGAGCAUUUUGUUUAAAACUCACAGUCAGCACAAAUUACACAACACCUUUACUUGAAGGAUCCACGUUUAAAUUUUGCAUACACACAACGGAGUCUACAUCGUAUAUUUUAUCUGAAGAUGCUGAACAUAAGGAGUUUCCAUGGUAUGUGACAGAAAGUAGAGAAAUUAAUAUCGACGACAGCACAAUAACACCAAUUCGUACAAUAGAGCAUGAAUUUAUGAACAUCGACAUUUACUGCGAGGAAAGUUCAUCGAAAUAAAAAAAAGCAUUGUGAUUGAAUGAAGGUUUCUUCGGGUGAAAGUUGCCGCUGAUUGUUAUGGCCCUAGCAACAGCCAGUUUGCUCAAUAAUUUUUACCGUUGAUAUUUUACAUUAAUGUUUUUUGAUAGUCAAAAGUUAAAAUGAGUGGUAUGGACUUAGAAAGAUUAGCCUCUGAGUUAAAAUCUGACAAAGCUGCAAGGGAUGCACUUAUUGAAGAUAAUAAACGACUUGAAGCUGAAGC